GAUGAACGCUGGCGGCGUGCCUAAUACAUGCAAGUCGAGCGAAUGGAUUGAGAGCUUGCUCUUAUGAAGUUAGCGGCGGACGGGUGAGUAACACGUGGGUAACCUGCCCAUAAGACUGGGAUAACUCCGGGAAACCGGGGCUAAUACCGGAUAACAUUUUGAACCGCAUGGUUCGAAAUUGAAAGGCGGCUUCGGCUGUCACUUAUGGAUGGACCCGCGUCGCAUUAGCUAGUUGGUGAGGUAACGGCUCACCAAGGCAACGAUGCGUAGCCGACCUGGUAGGGUGAUCGGCCACAAUGGGACUGAGAAACGGCCCAGACUCCUACGGGAGGCAGCAGUAGGGAAUCUUCCGCAAUGGACGAAAGUCUGACGGAGCAACGCCGCGUGAGUGAUGAAGGCUUUCGGGUCGUAAAACUCUGUUGUUAGGGAAGAACAAGUGCUAGUUGAAUAAGCUGGCACCUUGACGGUACCUAACCAGAAAGCCACGGCUAACUACGUGCCAGCCACCGCCGUAA
rnacentral:rRNA from 1 species